rnacentral:rRNA from 1 species
CCCUACGGGGUGCAGCAGCUACGAAACCUUUACAAUGCACGAAAGUGUGAUAAGGGAAUCCUGAGUGCUCAUGUUAUGCAUGGGCUUUUGCCAAGAGUAAAUAUCUUGGCGAAUAAGUGGUGGGCAAGACUGGUGCCAGCCGCCGCGGUAACACCAGCGCCACAAGUGGGAAUCGUUUUUAUUGGGUCUAAAGCGUCCGUAGCCGGAUUAGCAAAUUUUCUGUGAAAUCGGCCACCUUAAUUGGUCGGCGUGCAGAAAACACUACUAAUCUUGAGACUGGGAGAGGUAAGAAGUAUGCCGGGGGUAGCGGUAAAAUGUUAUAAUCCCCGGUGGACUACCAAUGGCGAAGGCAUCUUGCCAGAACAGAUCUGACGGUGAGGGACUAAAGCUGGGGGAGCGAUCCGGACUAGAUACCCGAGUAGUCCCAGCCCUAAACGCUGCCAGCCAGGUGUUGCAUAAUCUUCAUGGUUAUGCAGUGUCGUAAUGAAGAUGUUAAGCUGGCCACCUGGGAAGUACGGUCGCAAGGCUGAAACUUAAAGGAAUUGGCGGGGGAGCAC